UUGCCUACGGGGGGCAGCAGUAGGGAAUUUUCGUCAAUGGGCGCAAGCCUGAACGAGCAAUGCCGCGUGAAGGAAGAAGGCUUUCGGGUUGUAAACUUCUUUUCUCAGGGACGAAGCAAGUGACGGUACCUGAGGAAUAAGCCACGGCUAACUACGUGCCAGCAGCCGCGGUAAUACGUAGGUGGCAAGCGUUAUCCGGAUUUACUGGGUGUAAAGGGCGUGUAGGCGGGACUGCAAGUCAGAUGCGAAAACCCCGGGCUCA
rnacentral:rRNA from 1 species